GAAGCAUAAUUUUUUGAUACCUG
rnacentral:piRNA from 1 species